GAAAUGCGAUAAGUAGUGUGAAUUGCAGAUACCGUGAAUCAUCAAAUCUUUGAACGCACAUUGCACUGCCUGGAAUUCCGGGCAGUAUACCUGUUUGAGUAUCAGUAAACACUCUCACCGGCGCGUGCUGGAUGAUAUCCAGCAGAUGUCGACGAGGAACUGAGUUUUCACACAAAGUGUUACUUUAAAUGUAGUUGCUGGUAGGACUUGCCUGCCGACAGAGUUAAUGGGCACUUGUGCCUGUUGCUGUCAUGGUAUGGCGAGGGACUAAUAUCAGAUCACAACCCAAAAAACACCUCCGCCGCUACAACUAUAGUGGUCGUCGUGUGACUUUGAUCUCAAAUCAGGUAAGAUUACCCGCUGAACUUAA
rnacentral:misc_RNA from 1 species